ACAGCUGAUCCCGCUGCUGUCCGGGACAAAGGGUCGCGAUCCCGCGAGGGUGAGCUAACUCCAAAAAUCCGUCCUCAGUUCGGAUUGCAGGCUGCAACUCGCCUGCAUGAAGCCGGAAUCGCUAGUAAUCGCCGGUCAGCCAUACGGCGGUGAAUUCGUUCC
rnacentral:ncRNA from 1 species